rnacentral:rRNA from 1 species
UCNUACGGGAGGCAGCAGUGGGGAAUAUUGGACAAUGGGCGCAAGCCUGAUCCAUCCACCCGCGUGUGUGAAGAAGGCCUUCGGGUUGUAAAGCACUUUCAGUGGUGAGGAAGGCCUUGCAGUUAAUAGCUGCAAGGAUUGACGUUAGCCACAGAAGAAGCACCGGCUAACUCCGUGCCAGCAGCCGCGGUAAUACGGAGGGUGCGAGCGUUAAUCGGAAUUACUGGGCGUAAAGCGCAGGUAGGCGGUUUGUUAAGCUAGAUGUGAAAGCCCAGGGCUCAACCUUGGAAUUGCAUUUAGAACUGGCAAGCUAGAGUUUUGAAGAGGGUGGUAGAAUUUCCUGUGUAGCGGUGAAAUGCGUAGAUAUAGGAAGGAAUACCAGUGGCGAAGGCGGCCACCUGGUCAAUAACUGACGCUGAGGAGGGAAAGCGUGGGGAGCAAACAGGAUUAGAUACCCUGGUAGUCCACCCCGUAAACGAUGUCAACUAGUUGUUGGUGUCUUUGAGACGUGAGUAACGCAGCUAACGCAUUAA